rnacentral:rRNA from 1 species
GACGAACGCUGGCGGCGUGCUUAACACAUGCAAGUCGAACGGUGAAGCCCUUCGUGGUGGUUCAGUGGCGAACGGGUGAGUAACACGUGAGCAACCUGCUCCUGGCUCUGGGACAACCACUGGACACGGUGGCUAAUACCGGAUACGACCCGCCUCGGCAUCGAGUGUGGGUGGAAAGUUUUUCGGCUGGGGUUGGGCUCGCGGCCUAUCAGCUUGUUGGUGAGGUGAAGGCUCGCCAAGGCGACGACGGGGAGCCGGCCUGAGAGGGCGACAGGCCACACUGGGACUGAGACACGGCCCAGACUCCUACGGGAGGCAGCAGUGGGGAAUAUUGCACAAUGGGCGAAAGCCUGAUGCAGCGACGCCGCGUGAGGGAUGACGGCCUUCGGGUUGUAAACCUCUUUCAGCUCCGAAGAAGCGAAAGUGACGGUAGGAGCAGAAGAAGCACCGGCUAACUACGUG